UGAGGAAUAUUGCGCAAUGGGCGAAAGCCUGACGCAGCGACGCCGCGUGAGGGAUGAAGGCCUUCGGGUCGUAAACCUCUGUCAGUGGGGAAGAGAACGGACGGUACCCACGGAGGAAGCAUCGGCUUACUACGUGCCAGCAGCCGCGGUAAUACGUAGGAUGCAAGCGUGGUCCGGCUUUACUGGGCGUAAAGAGCUCGUAGGCUGGGACGCGCGUCUCGGAGGAAAUUCCAGGGCUCAACCCUGUAGCUUUCCGAGAUACGGCGUCUCUUGAGGGCAGAAGAGGAGAACAGAAUUCCCGGUGUAGCGGUGAAAUGCGUAGAUAUCGGGAGGAAUACCAGUGGCGAAGGCGGUUCUCUGGUCUGUCUCUGACGCUGAGGAGCGAAAGCGUGGGGAGCAAACAGG
rnacentral:rRNA from 2 species